rnacentral:rRNA from 1 species
UGCCAGCAGCCGCGGUAAUACGGAGGGGGGGAGCGUUGUUCGGAAUUACUGGGCGUAAAGCGCGCGUAGGCGGACUGUUAAGUUAGAGGUGAAAUCCCGGGGCUCAACCCCGGAACUGCCUUUAAUACUGGCAGUCUAGAGUUCGGGAGAGGUGAGUGGAAUUCCGAGUGUAGAGGUGAAAUUCGUAGAUAUUAGGAGGAACACCAGUGGCGAAGGCGGCUCACUGGCUCGAUACUGACGCUGAGGUACGAAAGUGUGGGGAGCAAACAGGAUUAGAUA